UGACAAAGGAAGGCAGCAGCAGUCAUGACCAGCACAAGGGGAAUCUGAGAACUGACGUUCCUGCCAAUACAAAAAUCAGACUCCAAUCCAUUGCAGAGUGUUUCCUAACAGAGAAGAGAAAGAUCCCUGAUCCUCAUGUGCUUAUGUGAAAUUCAAAGCCCAGCCUGUGCCGUGCUUGGUAUAAUGCAUCUGGAAAACCAGGCCCUUCACCAGAGAGGUGACUUAAAGUUAUAUGCUGAGUAAGGAGCUUGCUAUGAACUGCCAGGGUCAUCAUGCAAAUGGAUGUGAUAAAUCUGAUCCCUGCUCUGAAAGUGUUUUUUAUCCCCUCAGGAUGUGCAUGGGGAGACCUAGGAGUCCAGUGAUGUUGUGAUAACUGUACAUGCUACUCAGCAAGUUUCUUGAAGUUUUCAGUUGGAAAUAAGUUAGCCACUGUAAUGGGUGGUCUGCCCUUAGCACAGGAAUAACAGUAGUUCAAGUACUCCCACCCUGAGAGGCUGGAACUUCUUUCUUAGAAGUACUCCAGCCUUUGGGCAAUAAAGCAAGAGAUGAGGCAAUAGGGUACUUUCAUGCUGUCUAGUUGAAGCUAGAACAUAGUCUGUCCAAAUUGCCAAAUAAUGAUACUACUUGGAGAAUGAACAAAAUGGAGUCUGAUUCUAUGGGAAGUUACCAGCUUAGUUUCUGGAAAUCUUGUGUUUUGGCCUCUGUUCUGAAGGGAAAAAUCUAUA